UACGAACGCUGGCGGCGUGCUUAACACAUGCAAGUCGAACGGAAAGGCCCUGCUUUUGUGGGGUGCUCGAGUGGCGAACGGGUGAGUAACACGUGAGUAACCUGCCCUUGACUUUGGGAUAACUUCAGGAAACUGGGGCUAAUACCGGAUAGGAGCUCCUGCUGCAUGGUGGGGGUUGGAAAGUUUCGGCGGUUGGGGAUGGACUCGCGGCUUAUCAGCUUGUUGGUGGGGUAGUGGCUUACCAAGGCUUUGACGGGUAGCCGGCCUGAGAGGGUGACCGGCCACAUUGGGACUGAGAUACGGCCCAGACUCCUACGGGAGGCAGCAGUGGGGAAUAUUGCACAAUGGGCGGAAGCCUGAUGCAGCAACGCCGCGUGCGGGAUGACGGCCUUCGGGUUGUAAACCGCUUUCGCCUGUGACGAAGCGUGAGUGACGGUAAUGGGUAAAGAAGCACCGGCUAACUACGUGCCAGCAGCCGCGGUGAUACGUAGGGUGCGAGCGUUGUCCGGAUUUAUUGGGCGUAAAGGGCUCGUAGGUGGUUGAUCGCGUCGGAAGUGUAAUCUUGGGGCUUAACCCUGAGCGUGCUUUCGAUACGGGUUGACUUGAGGAAGGUAGGGGAGAAUGGAAUUCCUGGUGGAGCGGUGGAAUGCGCAGAUAUCAGGAGGAACACCAGUGGCGAAGGCGGUUCUCUGGGCCUUUCCUGACGCUGAGGAGCGAAAGCGCGGGGGGCGAACAGGCUUAGAUACCCUGGUAGUCCACGCUGUAAACGGUGGGUACUAGGUGUGGGGUCCAUUCCACGGGUUCCGUGCCGUAGCUAACGCUUUAAGUACCCCGCCUGGGGAGUACGGCCGCAAGGCUAAAACUCAAAGGAAUUGACGGGGCCCCGCACAAGCGGCGGAGCAUGCGGAUUAAUUCGAUGCAACGCGUAGAACCUUACCUGGGUUUGACAUGGAUCGGGAGUGCUCAGAGAUGGGUGUGCCUCUUUUGGGGUCGGUUCACAGGUGGUGCAUGCCUGUCGUCAGCUCGUGUCGUGAGAUGUUGGGUUAAGUCCCGCAACGAGCGCAACCCUUGUUCACUGUUGCCAGCACGUUAUGGUGGGGACUCAGUGGAGACCGCCGGGGUCAACUCGGAGGAAGGUGGGGAUGACGUCAAGUCAUCAUGCCCCUUAUGUCCAGGGCUUCACGCAUGCUACAAUGGCUGGUACAGAGAGUGGCGAGCCUGUGAGGGUGAGCGAAUCUCGGAAAGCCGGUCUCAGUUCGGAUUGGGGUCUGCAACUCGACCUCAAGAAGUCGGAGUCGCUAGUAAUCGCAGAUCAGCAACGCUGCGGCAAAUAGGUUCCCGGGGCU
rnacentral:rRNA from 1 species